CCCAGAGCUCUUUCAAGUUACUUUCUGGUUUGGAUAAUCUCCAGUUGAGACCAUCUGCCAUGCUUUACUUCUUCUUGGUAAAUUUUUAUGAUGAUACGCCAUGGAGUGGUGUUUAGUUCCUGGGCCAUAUUUCACUAGCUGUCACGAUUCUGUGAAGAAAUAUCUAUUCUCAUAGCAUGACAACAAUUGCUGGCAAAUUAUAGUUCUUGAAGCUUUCAUCUCUGCUGUCAGCAUGUGAGGAACUUACCUCGUACAAACCUUCAAAUACUGAAGAACAUCAAUAUGUUCAACAUCAAUAUGAUGUUCAAUAUUCCUCAUUGAAAUAUCAAUUUGUCUUUGACCCA